rnacentral:lncRNA from 1 species
AUGCCUGCUCUCCCCCCCGAACGAGCAGAAGCGUUCGUCCAAGCAGUGAGCUGUGAGCAAACCGGACAGGACCAGCGACAUCUCGGGAGGAUGCCUGCAGUGGUACAGCCGCUGCCUGAGGAACAGAUGCUUUCCUGGCAAAUCAUUUCCAUUUGGGAGGCCUCACGUCAGAAGAGCAAACCUGGGUCAUUCACGAGUUGUCUGAAUGGGGAAGAAGCCAGAGAAGGGACUAGAGGGAGGUCGGGGCUGUGGGAGAAGGAGCUGGCCCUGGGCAGACAGCUCUGUGCAGGGGUGUCAGAGGUUCAGCAGCUGCACGGCCCUGCAGAUCCAGCACGAAGGCAUCUUCCCCUCCUCCACAGAGGGGUUUCAGGCAGGUCGGUGCCGGAGGGCAGCCUUCGGGGCCCAGAAACCUCGGUGAGGAGGAGAGCUCGGGCUGCCCAGAGGCUGCUGCCGUCACCCCAGCCCUCGCUCUGCCGUCAAAGGCCUCCGACAAACCUUGCUGUCUGUCAGCAAGCAGGCGCUGACAGCUUGCAAGGCACACAGUGCUCCUCGCCCAGCGUGCUCCUCUUCUUUCCCUUUUUAAGCACGCAGAUUGAAAUUUUAAAUUGCUGCUCCACUAAUGGCCUCUGGAGCGACCGAACCUCCCCGUGGCCUCCAGCAGGCAGCAGGGGGGGCAGGGGCACAGCGCAGGCGGUGCAGCCGCUGAUGCCGGCUGUGAGCGGGGCUGGAGCCUUCUCCUUCUCCAUCCUGAGCCGUGCUGGAUCCCAGGACGUGUAAUAUUUGCUUGAACAUGUCAGCAAAUCCCCCCUGCGCUACAGGAGGUCACCUUCCCUAAUCUUCGAUGUCCAGUUGCAUAACCGAGAUAGUGAACAAAUCGCUUCAAUUUAAUCUUUCUUCCUUUCCAUCUCAAGCAUGGAGAAUCAAUUCCUGGGCAAGCACAGCUUCAGCACGGGGCUGGGCACACACGCUGGGCACAUCAACCUCCAGAGAGCCCUCAAAACCACCAAGAGAAAUGAACAACAAGGGUUUUACUGCCCAUUGCUGCACCUCAUCCUGUCCAACAGCCCUCUAGGCCAGGGCUUUCAAUGUCUUCAGCAGAGGCCUGCCCCGCAGCUUCCUGGAGCUCUGGCUCAGAUCAAGUAGGACAAAUAACAACAUCUCAUCGGGGUAAUUCAGCAGCCAAACACGCCAGCCGCCUCUUGUCCGAGGAUGGAGUCAGCUCCUUUCUCCCUGCCACAGCUUCUCCCUGUCCCUGUAGGCCCCUUGCCUGCUGCUUAAAAACAUAGCUUGUAAGGUCUGCAGAGUGCUAGACUGCCUCAAAAAGCAGAAAUGCCCCGGAAAUGUUGGGUCUUGGCUCUACCAGCCGAGGGGAGGCUCCAUCAGGAGCCCGCUCCUCGUGUGGGCUGGGUGAAGAGCUGAGCUCAGCCAGAGCAAGGUCUGAGUGCAAGUGGCAGGAAAAUUGCUCCAUGACCUCCAAAUCAGCAGUGCCCGGAGGCAAGAAGAGCAGGAGGGAAGGACAACAGCGGCUGGGUGGGCAGGAGCACAUCCUGCUCUCCGCAGGGCUGUGGGGAGGCACCAACCCUCUGCCCCUGGAGGCAGCCGGGGGGCAGGGGCUGCUCCCACCCCUGGAGCAUCUUCUGCAGAUGAAUUAAAAGCGUUAGCCUCAAAUCUCCUAAUUUACCCCGACUUUUUCUCUUUAAGAGUAUUGAUGGUGGGAGCCAUCUGGACUGGAGCAUUUAUUAGCUUAGAAUAAUUCAACCGCUUUGCUAAUCCCAUC